rnacentral:rRNA from 1 species
AGUGAACGCUGGCGGUAGGCCUAACACAUGCAAGUCGAACGGCAGCACAGUAAGAGCUCGCUCUUACGGGUGGCGACUGGCGGGCGGGUGAGAAGUACAUCGCAAUCUACUUUGUCUUGGGUGAUAACGUGGGGAAACUUACACUAAUAGAGCAUACGACCUACGGGUUAAAUCAAGAGAGCUUCGGACCUUGCCCGAUUCAAUGAGCCGAUGUCGGAUUAGCUAGUUGGCGGGGUAAAGGCACACCAAGGCGACGAUCCGUAGCUGAGCUGAGAGGAUGAUCAGCCACACUGGAACUGAGACACGGUCCAGACUCCUACGGGAGGCAGCAGUGGGGAAUAUUGGACAAUGGGCGAAAGCCUGAUCCAGCCAUACCGCGUGGGUGAAGAAGGUCUUCGGGUUGUAAAGCCCUUUUGUUGGGAAAGAACAGCAGUAGGUUAAUACCUCGCUGUUUUGACGGUACCCAAAGAAUAAGCAACGGCUAACUUCGUG